CUGUGUGUUAAACAGUGAACACACACACCCAACAGGACCGGAGCUUCUGAUGUUUACCAGGGCUGCCAGGAUUUGUAGUCAACCGCAGAUUGUUACGAUCGCAGUAUCCAGACGUCCUGUAGCAAACAUGACUCUCAGCAACCUAUUGUCUCGUACUGUCAGUAAAGUCGGGAGAAGGUCUAUGUUCACAGCCUCCAAACCAGACACGGUCCAUCCCAACUGGCUGCGGGUGGGACUCUCCUUCGGGACGGCUGCUCUCCUCUGGGGCCUGCUCUUCAAGCAGCACAGCACUGAUGUGAAUGAGUACAAAGUUAGGAAUGGCUUGGAAUAAAGAUGCUCUGUCCUUGCGGCCGCAGUCUGUCCUGUAGGAUGUAGGAUGCACGAUGUUCCGCUGUCCCCCGGGACCUCCUUGUAUCUCAUUCCAAAUCAAGACUCUGAUAAAUUGUUCCACAUACACUUUGACGUUAUUAUUAUUCUUUGUACUCCUGUUAGGUGUCAAACAAACAACAUAAAAAUAUACUAGAUAUUAUUUAUUAUAAUAUGUACCCAAAUGUAAAUCUGGUUCACAAUCAUCAAUAAAGAACUUUUGAAGAGAUAA